AGCAGGAUUGCUAGGUCAUAAGAUAACUCUUUGUUUAACAUUUUGAGGAACUGCUAAACUGUUUUCCAAAGUUGCUGCACCAUUUGGCAUUACCACUAGUACU
rnacentral:pre_miRNA from 1 species